ACCCUGACUAUAUACCAGAGGAAGAGAUUCAAAAGAAGAUUCAGGACAUUGAGAAGGAGUUGGAUUCUUUAGAACUGAAAGGCAUAGACUUAGAGAAAAAGCUUCGGGAAGCUGAAGGGGAUGAAUCUGAAGAUGCCCUCAUGGUAGAAUGGUUCAAACUCAUCCAUGAGAAACAGCUGUUGUUGAGGCAGGAGUCAGAGCUGAUGUACAAGGCCAAGGAGCAGCGCCUGGAGGAGAUACAGCUUGAUAUUGCCGAUGAACUUCGCCGUUUGAUAGAAAAACCAGGUAUGUAGAUGACCAGGCCUCUUAGCUUCCUCCUAGCUCCUGUAUGCAGAGAAAGGGAGAAGAUUACCUGAUCCCGAGGUGAAAUCUUAGAAUCAUACAAGUGUGAAAUAAAUGUACCUACAGUAGGACCUUGUUUUCUGCACAUUCAACACAUGCCAAUUCAGGCAUUCUCUAGUGGCAAUCAAAGAAAAUAAAGGUGGAAAAAUAAGUAAAUAAAUAAAAUAUCUAAAAAAUAACAAAAAUAAUAAAAGAAAGAAAAAAUAAAAACAUUUUAAUUAUGCACGAAAUCCACAUAAAGUCUCGUAGCUGUUCGUCCAAUCAUACUCAUUCUCACUCUGAGAAGCAUUGGUAUAAGUCGUUACACUAUUUUGCACCAAA